GAUGAACGCUGGCGGCGUGCCUAAUACAUGCAAGUCGAGCGAACAGAUGAGAAGCUUGCUUCUCUGAUGUUAGCGGCGGACGGGUGAGUAACACGUGGGUAGCCUACCUAUAAGACUGGGAUAACUCCGGGAAACCGGGGCUAAUACCGGAUAAUAUUUUGAACCGCAUGGUUCAAUAGUGAAAGACGGUUUCGGCUGUCACUUAUAGAUGGACCCGCGCCGUAUUAGCUAGUUGGUAAGGUAACGGCUUACCAAGGCGACGAUACGUAGCCGACCUGAGAGGGUGAUCGGCCACACUGGAACUGAGACACGGUCCAGACUCCUACGGGAGGCAGCAGUAGGGAAUCUUCCGCAAUGGGCGAAAGCCUGACGGAGCAACGCCGCGUGAGUGAUGAAGGUCUUCGGAUCGUAAAACUCUGUUGUUAGGGAAGAACAAAUUUGUUAGUAACUGAACAAGUCUUGACGGUACCUACCAGAAAGCCACGGCUAACUACGUGCCAGCAGCCGCGGUAA
rnacentral:rRNA from 1 species